rnacentral:rRNA from 1 species
GGGACGGGGGGGGCAAGUGUUCUUCGGAAUGACUGGGCGGUAAAGGGCACGUAGGACGGUGAAUCGGGUUGAAAGUGAAAGUCGCCAAAAAGUGGCGGAAUGCUCUCGAAACCAAUUCACUUGAGUGAGACAGAGGAGAGGUGGAAUUUCGUGUGUAGGGGUGAAAUCCGUAGAAUCUACGGAAGGAACGCCAAAAGGCCGAACGGCGAGCUCUCAUGGGUCCCUACCGGACGCUGGGGUGCGAAAGCAUGGGGAGCGAACAGG